rnacentral:lncRNA from 1 species
UCCACCAUUGCUGUGAAAACAUGCCUGGGAGAGCCUGCUGGAAGACAGUACCCAGAGCAGCGCCCCAGUCUCUCCAGUUGACUAGCCAGGACCAGCCUAGAUCUUCUGACAACUGGAUGACCUUCAGAUAUAGAUACCACCAGCUUCUGAUGGUGUUACACCCUGGAAAUGGCAGUCCAGCUCUAGCUUCUGGAAGGCAACUGGCAAGAGCAUAAGAAAACAGCCGAAGAUUAGAUUUUGAUAAUGAGAGAGCCCAACGAUCCUGGACCCCUGGCCGGGAGGACAAUAGGGGAAACAGGUGAAACACUGUGUGAGCUGGACCACCCAGGCUCUCCAACACCAGGACACCAGAGCAUCCUUCCUCCUUCUUCUCUUCUGCUGCGACUUCCUGGAGGCAUAGCAGAGUUACAACUGCUGGCCAUGUGGAACUUCUCUUCUCCUAUAAGUUUGCUCUGAGAUGGAGAGAUUGUGCCUGUGGUUCAUUAGGAAGAGCUCUUGGGAUCAAUGCCUGUAAUAAGGAAGGGAAGGAAUCAGGAUUGGCCAGAAGGAGAAGUUGAGCUGUGUUGAAGCCUCAAUGGAGACCUCAGCCAAUUCUGAGUCAUGUCCUGAAGCUAGAAUAUGUCCUCUAAAUUAUCCCAAGCUGAGAUGAGGGAGCUGGGCAUUUAGCCCUGUAUUAGGCCAUUCUUGCACUGCUAUAAAGAAAUAACUAUGGCCUGGCGCCGUGGCUCACGUCCUUAAUCCUAGCACUUUGGGAGGCCGAGGCGAGCAGAUCACGAGGUCAGAGUUUGACACCAGCCUGGCCAAUAUGGUGAAACCCCAAUUCUACUAAAAAUACGAAAAUUAGCCAGGCGUGGUGGCACAUGUCUGUAAUCUCAGCUACUCGGGAGGCUGAGGCAGGAGAAUUGCUUGAACCCAGGAAGUGGAGGUUGCAGUGAGCUGAGAUUGUGCCUCUGCACUCCAGCCUAGGGAAUAAAGCGAAAGUCUGUCAAAAAAAAAAAAAAAAAGGAAAGAAGGAAAUAA